rnacentral:rRNA from 1 species
CCUACGGGAGGCAGCAGUGAGGAAUCUUGGUCAAUGGACGAGAGUCUGAACCAGCCAAGUAGCGUGAAGGAUGACUGCCCUAUGGGUUGUAAACUUCUUUUAUAUGGGAAUAAAAUGUUACACGUGUGGGAUUUUGUAUGUACCAUAUGAAUAAGGAUCGGCUAACUCCGUGCCAGCAGCCGCGGUAAUACGGAGGAUCCGAGCGUUAUCCGGAUUUAUUGGGUUUAAAGGGAGCGUAGGUGGAUUGUUAAGUCAGUUGUGAAAGUUUGCGGCUCAACCGUAAAAUUGCAGUUGAAACUGGCAGUCUUGAGUACAGUAGAGGUGAGCGGAAUUCGUGGUGUAGCGGUGAAAUGCUUAGAUAUCACGAAGAACUCCGAUUGCGAAGGCAGUUCACUGGACUGCAACUGACACUGAGGCUCGAAAGUGUGGGUAUCAAACAGGAUUAGAUACCCCAGUAGUC